UACGUAGGGUGCGAGCGUUAAUCGGAUUUACUGGGCGUAAAGGGCGCGUAGGCGGCCACCGCAGGUCGGUUGUGAAAUCUCUGGGCUUAACCCAGAAAGGUCAACCGAUACUGCGGGGCUAGAGUGCAGAAGGGGCAACUGGAAUUCUCGGUGUAGCGGUGAAAUGCGUAGAUAUCGAGAGGAACACCUGCGGCGAAGGCGGGUUGCUGGGCUGACACUGACGCUGAAGCGCGAAAGCUAGGGGAGCGAACGGG
rnacentral:rRNA from 1 species